rnacentral:rRNA from 1 species
AUACGGAGGGUGCAAGCGUUACUCGGAAUCACUGGGCGUAAAGCGCGCGCAGGCGGCUAUUUAAGUUGGAUGUGAAAGCCUACGGCUCAACCGUAGAACUGCAUCCAAAACUAUUUAGCUAGAGUGUGGGAGAGGAAGAUGGAAUAGUUGUGUAGGGGUAAAAUCCGUAGAGAUAACUAGGAAUACCAAAAGCGAAGGCAAUCUUCUGGAACACUACUGACGCUGAGGCGCGAAGGCGUGGGGAGCAAACAGAAUUAGAAACCCCAGUAGUCC